rnacentral:rRNA from 1 species
UACAGAGACUGCAAGCGUUAUUCGGAUUCACUGGGCGUAAAGGGUGCGCAGGCGGCCAAGUGUGUGAGGCGUGAAAGCCCGAUGCUUAACAUCGGAAUUGCACCUCAAACUACAUGGCUAGAGCAUUGGAGAGGGUAGCGGAAUUCACGGUGUAGCAGUGAAAUGCGUGGAUAUCGUGAGGAACACCAGAGGCGAAGGCGGCUACCUGGACAAUUGCUGACGCUCAGGCACGAAAGCGUGGGGAGCGAACAGG